UACGUAGGGGGCAAGCGUUGUCCGGAAUCAUUGGGCGUAAAGCGCGCGUAGGCGGCCCGGUAAGUCCGCUGUGAAAGUCCAGGGCUCAACCCUGGGAUGCCGGUGGAUACUGUCGGGCUCGAGUCCGGAAGAGGCGAGUGGAAUUCCUGGUGUAGCGGUGAAAUGCGCAGAUAUCAGGAGGAACACCAAUGGCGAAGGCAGCUCGCUGGGACGUGACUGACGCUGAGGCGCGAAAGCGUGGGGAGCAAACAGG
rnacentral:rRNA from 1 species